ACUGCCUCGCAGAUCCUGUUGAGUAUUGAGCUCUGAUUUUUAUCAUGACUUUUUUCGUAUCUGGCGCGCCAAUCUGUUACGGUCAAUCCCCUGUUGCACCCGUCGUCAGAGAAGAGUACCUGUAAAAGAAGUCCAUAUUAGCCGAAAUUAUGUCCAAUAAAAAUCCUCCGAUACUUAAGUUAGUGAGAAGUGGUGAACAGCAGAUAAAACUUUGGCAUAACAAAGUCUCAGCCC
rnacentral:lncRNA from 1 species